GAUGAACGCUGGCGGCGUGCCUAACACAUGCAAGUCGAGCGAAGCAUUUUAAAGGAAGUUUUCGGAUGGAAUUUGAAAUGACUGAGCGGCGGACGGGUGAGUAACGCGUGGGUAACCUGCCUCAUACAGGGGGAUAACAGUUAGAAAUGACUGCUAAUACCGCAUAAGCACACAGUACCGCAUGGUACGGUGUGAAAAACUCCGGUGGUAUGAGAUGGACCCGCGUCUGAUUAGCUGGUUGGCGGGGUAACGGCCCACCAAGGCGACGAUCAGUAGCCGACCUGAGAGGGUGACCGGCCACAUUGGGACUGAGACACGGCCCAAACUCCUACGGGAGGCAGCAGUGGGGAAUAUUGCACAAUGGGGGAAACCCUGAUGCAGCAACGCCGCGUGAGUGAAGAAGUAUUUCGGUAUGUAAAGCUCUAUCAGCAGGG
rnacentral:rRNA from 1 species